GAUGAACGCUGGCGGCGUGCUUAACACAUGCAAGUCGAACGAUGAAAGCGGGAGCUUGCUCCUGCUGGAUUAGUGGCGAACGGGUGAGUAACACGUGAGCAAUCUGCCCCGAACUCUGGGAUAAGCGUUGGAAACGACGUCUAAUACCGGAUACGACGCGCGAAGGCAUCUUCUGCGCGUGGAAAGAACUUCGGUUCGGGAUGAGCUCACGGCCUAUCAGCUAGUUGGUGAGGUAACGGCCCACGAAGGCGACGACGGGUAGCCGGCCUGAGAGGGUGACCGGCCACACUGGGACUGGGACACGGCCCAGACUCCUACGGGAGGCAGCAGUGGGGAAUAUUGCACAAUGGGCGCAAGCCUGAUGCAGCAACGCCGCGUGAGGGACGACGGCCUUCGGGUUGUAAACCUCUUUUAGUAGGGAAGAAGCGAAAGUGACGGUACCUGCAGAAAAAGCACCGGCUAACUACGUGCCAGCCGCCGCCGUAAGAC
rnacentral:rRNA from 1 species